CAGCCGCCGCGGGAAUACAGAGGAUGCAAGCGUUAUCCGGAAUGAUUGGGCGUAAAGCGUCUGUAGGUGGCUUUUCAAGUCCGCCGUCAAAUCCCAGGGCUCAACCCUGGACAGGCGGUGGAAACUACCAAGCUGGAGUACGGUAGGGGCAGAGGGAAUUUCCGGUGGAGCGGCGAAAUGCGUCGAGAUUGGAAAGAACACCAACGGUGGAAGCACUCUGCUGGGCCGACACUGACACUGAGAGACGAAAGCUAGGGGAGCAAAUGGGAUUAGAUACCCCAGUAGUCCCUGUCUCUUAUAC
rnacentral:rRNA from 1 species